ACGGGUGAGUAAUGCCUAGGAAUCUGCCUGGUAGUGGGGGAUAACGUUCGGAAACGAACGCUAAUACCGCAUACGUCCUACGGGAGAAAGCAGGGGACCUUCGGGCCUUGCGCUAUCAGAUGAGCCUAGGUCGGAUUAGCUAGUUGGUGAGGUAAUGGCUCACCAAGGCGACGAUCCGUAACUGGUCUGAGAGGAUGAUCAGUCACACUGGAACUGAGACACGGUCCAGACUCCUACGGGAGGCAGCAGUGGGGAAUAUUGGACAAUGGGCGAAAGCCUGAUCCAGCCAUGCCGCGUGUGUGAAGAAGGUCUUCGGAUUGUAAAGCACUUUAAGUUGGGAGGAAGGGCAGUUACCUAAUACGUAAUUGUUUUGACGUUACCGACAGAAUAAGCACCGGCUAACUCUGUGCCAGCAGCCGCGGUAAUACAGAGGGUGCAAGCGUUAAUCGGAAUUACUGGGCGUAAAGCGCGCGUAGGUGGUUCGUUAAGUUGGAUGUGAAAUCCCCGGGCUCAACCUGGGAACUGCAUUCAAAACUGUCGAGCUAGAGUAUGGUAGAGGGGUGGUGGAAUUUCCUGUGUAGCGGU
rnacentral:rRNA from 1 species